UUUCCUUUCCUGUAUUUUAGUUUUAUCUCAACUCUUCUUUGUUUUUUUUGAUUCUCUCCCCCAUCCCAGUAGGAAGGGGGAGAGUGAGCAAACGACUGAGUGAUGCUGAGCCACCUGCCACGUUAACCAUUAUAAAGUUUCUUCCUCAUACAGAAAUACAAAUAAACUUUACAACAACAAACCAUUAAUGAAUGGAAGCAUAGUUGUCAGAAACUGACACUCCUUGACCAUGUUUUUCCAGAUGUUCCAGGUGUGGAGGGUGCAGUGUUUAAUAUCAAGUUUGCUUAUUUAAAAACACGAGGUCUACUCUCUGGAAGUAAUGUUUCCAAUUUUAAUGUGCCCAUGACAUCAGAGGCAGAUGUUGGUGAUAUGAUAGUAGAGGUUGAACCUCCCCACCAAUAUUCCAUUUAUCUCUCUUGCCUUGUGGCAAAUGGCAGCAGAAGAGCAGUCAUAUAAAUUAAUUGUUUUAUCCAGGUAUAUGAAAAUAAAUAUAAGAUCAGUGGGAAAUCUACUCUAUUUCUUUCUAAAAGUUUUGUUGUUGUUGCUAUUUAGCAAAAUGGUCAGCUUUUCAGUAUUAAUACUGACAAAAUGAUGUAUAUCUUUUCACUAUCCUGAGGAGUUAUUUAAGAUUUAGGCACUGGGAGAUUGCUAAUGUCUGCUCAUUAUAUUCAUAAAGGUUGUGCACUGAAAUAUAAUGCUAUAUUUGGCACUAAUUCAAAAAAUGUCUUUGCUACAGUAUUGUCCAAUAGAUAUUUGAGUAGGGUAUGGCAAUAGGCCAAAACUUAUGAUAAUGCAUUUUCACCAUUACAGGGAAGAUAAUGCAGCUAUAGAGGCAUAAUGAAAGGGCAAUUUCUGUCUUCAGACUAUGUACACAGAGCAGAAUACUUUUAGCAUUUUAUUCUCAAAAUGGGUUCACACCUUUCACCCAGACACCUAAGUGUUACACAUGGUGUGAAGAAAGUGAGGCACAACAAAGAAGCACUUUUAACAGACAAGAUGGGCCAAAACACAGGUAAUAGUCAAAGGUCAUACAUAUAUUUCUGGACAACAGAAACAUGCCAGUCUGGGCAUUAAAUUCUCAUGAUGAAUGUUCAGACUAACAACUGGAACUUUGAGAGGACUAAACGGAAACUGAUUUUAUAACCAUAAGGCAUAUGAAAAUCGAUAUGUCAGAUUAUCAAACUUCAAAAAUCUCAAUGAGAGGAGUAGAGUAGGGCAUGCUCCAUGACCUACUGUUCUGUGUUUCUCAUGCCCUGAAUCAUGAUUUAAACUUAAAAUGUAUAUAUAUUACAAAAUUAAUGACUACAUAAAGGACGUAUAUUAUUAAGUAUUUCAUAUUAAAUAUCACAAAGUCUGAGUUCACAGCCUUGUAUUCUUAUCCAAAUCACUAAACUAUUUAGCAUUUACCAACUCUGUUGUGGUGUUUGAUGCUGUCCAACAUUGCUGACUCUCAAAUAUGCUGCAAGUGAGAGAACAAUUAUUUGUUUUGCUGGCUGCUUAACCACAAUUGAUUUUUCAGCUCAAAUAAGUAAGCAGAGCAAGUAAAGCAGAGCAAGGGCUGAAAUCUGUGGAUUCACUACUCUAUAUCAGCUGAAGAUCGAGUCUGAAAUAAAGCUCUUUCUUCAGUAUUGGAUAUGGAACAUGGAGGUUUCAUGGCUCUCUUCAGCAGGGAUGUGUUGUUUAUUUCAUUCCCAAGGGAGAAAAAGAAGAAAGAACUUCCACUCAGAAGUAUCAGGCUUUUGCAGGAAAUGCCUGUUGGACAGAGAGCACUGACAUUUCUGGUAGAAUUGUUAUUGGUAAUCCUACCUGAACAGCUGCAGAAUAAACUGUAGGAAAUUACAGGGUUUUCUUCUGCACCCAGUGGUACAGAUUUGGAAAAGAUGUUAAAGAGCUUCCAAGCAGCAUCUGUUCCUCUCCAGAAGGGAGAACUGAGACACACCGGCAACUGCAGGGUGGUGGCUCUUUGCUUGUACUCUUGUCACAAUCCACUUUUAGAAUCCCACUUCACAAACCAAGGGUUCUGGCCCAGGUCACCGAGCAGACCAUCUGCACGUCCAACCAGUGCUCAACAGCAGCCAAAGGGGAGUACCUUCACUGCUAAUUCCUGUGGCUGAACAACUGUCACAAGUGUUUUCUUUCAAAGGAGAGAAAACAGCACUGUAAUUUCAUUGAAAUGGCUGAGAUUUCAACCUUCAUCAGUCUGGAAUCUGAAAAGCUUUAAGAUUUAAGCUGAAGAUCAUGAAUUUUUAGGCACCAUCCUAUUUAGGAGACAUAAUACAUACAUGGCUAGCACUCAGCACCUUGAAGAACUGUGUUCUCUACUGAAACAAUUGGCAGUCUUCCUUCCUCUGUUUACACCAAGUCCAUGAAAGAAGCAAGUGCAUAAAGAGAUAUGUGAGUUUCGCUUCAGAGAGACUCAGAUACUGAUAAUUUGCUACUAAAGGUGGUGUCCCCUGCAAGCAGCACAGUGAAGCCUCUGACCUUAGGACCCAAAGGAGCAGAGGAAGAGUCUACAUAACUGCAAUAAGUGGGGUAGAAAUGAAGAAAUGCAUGUGUACAACUAAAUUAAACCAUAUUAUUUAUUUUCCUAUAAAAACACGCUUGGACUAAUAAUGACUAGAAAAUA